ensembl:lncRNA
GGAAGUAUUGCCAAUUUCCAAUUAAUUGUGUACUAAUUGGAAACUAUCUUUCUGACUACAGAAAUGUGCAAUUUUGGGGUGGUGCUGGAGGUGAGGAAUAUGAAGUUGAGAAAGGGGUGGUACUGGAGAUGAGGGAUAUGAAGUUGAGAAAGGGGUGGUGCUGGAAGUGAGGGAUAUGAAGUUGAGAAAGGGGGAAAUGUCCUUUUAAUAUAUUGAUUUUGAACAACACCUGGAUACCUUGGCUUGAAGACAGACUGACUAAAUUAAACCCAAUCUAGGAUUUUACCUAAAUCUUUCAGUCUUUUCAAAUAUUUUAUAGAAAAAUGAAAGCUAAACGUUUGCUGUGAUUCAUAACAUUUUGCUCGAUGAAAUUCAACAGUAAUUCAUGUCUAGAG